rnacentral:rRNA from 1 species
CCUACGGGAGGCAGCAGUGGGGAAUUUUGGACAAUGGGCGCAAGCCUGAUCCAGCCAUGCCGCGUGCGGGAAGAAGGCCUUCGGGUUGUAAACCGCUUUUGUUCAGGGAAGAAAAGGUUCUGGAUAAUACCUGGGACUCAUGACGGUACCUGAAGAAUAAGCACCGGCUAACUACGUGCCAGCAGCCGCGGUAAUACGUAGGGUGCAAGCGUUAAUCGGAAUUACUGGGCGUAAAGCGUGCGCAGGCGGUUAUGCAAGACAGAGGUGAAAUCCCCGGGCUCAACCUGGGAACUGCCUUUGUGACUGCAUAGCUAGAGUACGGUAGAGGGGGAUGGAAUUCCGCGUGUAGCAGUGAAAUGCGUAGAUAUGCGGAGGAACACCGAUGGCGAAGGCAAUCCCCUGGACCUGUACUGACGCUCAUGCACGAAAGCGUGGGGAGCAAACAGGAUUAGAUACCCUGGUAGUCCACGCCCUAAACGAUGUCAACUGGUUNUUGGGAGGGUUUCUUCUCAGUACGAAGCUAACGCGUGAAGUUGACCGCCUGGGGAUCGGCGCAAGGUGAAACUCAAAGAUAGUCGGNGNGNGAGAGNGACGACG